GGGCGAGUAGCAUAAAGGUUAAUGCUGGUGACGCGAUCACUGAAUUGAGGUUCGAGCCCUCGCCGCCCCA
rnacentral:tRNA from 1 species